rnacentral:rRNA from 1 species
AUUGAACGCUGGCGGCAGGCCUAACACAUGCAAGUCGAGCGGAGCGGCGGACGGGUGAGUAAUGCCUAGGAAUCUGCCUGGUAGUGGGGGAUAACGUCCGGAAACGGGCGCUAAUACCGCAUACUAUCAGAUGAGCCUAGGUCGGAUUAGCUAGUUGGUGGGGUAAAGGCCUACCAAGGCGACGAUCCGUACCUGGUCUGAGAGGAUGAUCAGUACCACUGGAUCGUGGACACGGUCCAGAUGCGUACGGUAGGCAGCAGUGGGGAAGAUGGGAAAAAGGGCGAAAGCCUGAUCCAGCCAUGCGGCGCGUGUGAAGAAGGGAUUCGGAUUGUAAACCACUUUAAGGUGGGAGGCGUUAACAACAGAAUAGGCACCGGCUAACUAUGUGCCAGUAGCCGCGGUAAUAC